UGGCGAACGGGUGAGUAACACGUGGGGAAUCUGCCUAGGAGAGGGGGAUAACAUUCGGAAACGGAUGCUAAUACCGCAUAGAUUCGCGAACCGCAUGGUUCAUGAAUGAAAGACGGCUUUGCUGUCGCUCUUAGAUGAUCCCGCGGCGUAUUAGUUAGUUGGUGAGGUAAUGGCUCACCAAGGCAACGAUACGUAGCCGACCUGAGAGGGUGAUCGGCCACACUGGGACUGAGACACGGCCCAGACUCCUACGGGAGGCAGCAGUAGGGAAUCUUCCACAAUGGGUGCAAACCUGAUGGAGCAAUGCCGCGUGAAUGAAGAAGGUCUUCGGAUCGUAAAGUUCUGUUAUUAGAGAAGAACAAGUUGAGGAGUAACUGCUUCAACCUUGACAGUAUCUAACCAGAAAGUCACGGCUAACUACGUGCCAGCAGCCGCGGUAAUACGUAGGUGACAAGCGUUGUCCGGAAUUAUUGGGCGUA
rnacentral:rRNA from 1 species